rnacentral:lncRNA from 1 species
GGACUUCACCUGUUAAUAUGCCGCCAAACAAGGUUUUGCGUGCUUCCAUGCUAAAAAGCCGCUUUGCAGAUACUAUCUCCAGAGCUAGACAUCAUACUCUCCUGGAUCAUGUAAUAAUUUCUUAUUGCUUGCAAAAAUUUGGCAUACAUACUAGGUUGGUCGAGCUCUUCGUUUUGUGGAUAUACUAAUCUCUGUCUCUGUUGAUUUCUAUUUAGGGCAAGAAGAUUAAUCCUGUGAGUAGGCAAAAAGAAAGGGAAAGACUGGAAAGGCAGCAGUGUGAAGGUAUCUUAGCAUAUCCUUGAUCCAAUAUUUUGGUGUACUGUAAUAUUUUCGUGUUAAAAUGUUGCCUUCCUAUGGAACUUUUAGUGUAAUAUUUGCCAUUUUGGGCUAGUGUUGUCUUGUAUUGAAAUUCUCUUUCUUGAUGAUCAGUAGAUGUGACACAAGGCAUGUGGCUGAAAAUAAAGUUUAAAUUAUAUAGACUCUUGUGUGAACUGUGAAACUAUUCUGGUUUGUGAAUUAAAAACGAGACAUGAAUUUUCAUUUAGAUAUCUGAUUGUCAUUCUUUUCUUUUACGGUAUAAGUAUUUCAUUAGUAUUUCUCUUCAUUUGGGAAUAUUUUGUUUACACUGGAUGUUUGACCUUCUGCAGAGAAGGCUAGGAUUGCAACUGCUGUAGCAGCCUCCCGAAUGAGGUUGGAGACAGAGUUGAAGAUGCAACGUGAGAGGGAAAGAAAAGCAGCCAGAAUUGCAUUAGAAAAGGUCCCUUUUUAAAUUCAUUUUUGUAUUCCUUGAUCCUGUGUGAUUCCUGUUAUGAUUUGCCUCAUUGAUACUAAAGAAAUUUAAAUUUACUGACGUUUGUUUCACUCUAAUUUAGAUGGGAAAAACAGUCUAUUUCAACGAGAAUAGAGAUAUUAUGGAGUUUGAAGCAAUAAUUGGAGGCAUCAGCAUUGGUAACUUGAGAAACUCUCUGGAACAGCUUGGGUUAUACAUAAAGGAUGAUUGCAUGGAAAAUGAUGAAGUGGAGGCAAUUCUGCAAGGAGAAGAGGGGGAAAUUCUUUCGUAAUCCUAGCUGCAUAUAUGUGUAGUUUUGAGGUGUUAAUUGUAAAUUAGUAUUCAUUUUGUGGGCUGUUAGGGAACGAAAGGCAAGAUCUCUAAUUAGUCAAUCAAACAUUGUAAGUACAACUAGUGCAUAUUUUUUGUAGAUGCAGUCCAACAAAGAUUCAGUACAACUUGUGAAUAAUUUUUUGUGUAUUUAGAAUUUGUCUUGUAAAUCCGUAUGUCCAGCGUGGUGCUGCCAUUGGAUUGAAAAAGCAAUGUUAUGCCCGUAGGAUGGUAGCAAUUUACUUUUUAUUAUUUUUUAUUUUUUUUACAAUUUUUUUACAAUUUAUUUAUUUAUUUAUUUAUUAUUUUUUUUUUCCGGAUCAAAUUGCUCGUUUGAGCUUA